rnacentral:lncRNA from 1 species
UCCAAAGAAACAGAUCAUUGGGAAGAGCCGUUGUCUGAAGGAUGAAUUGGUAAGCAGACCCAAAGUUGUAUACUUUGUUGUUUACUUACUGGCUAUCUCUAUUUUUUGUUUGCCUUUUUGCUUAAUGAUUUAAUUCCUACGAACAUGUCUUGUUUCUUUAACUGGCUUCCUUGUUUUCUCUUUUUUCUUCAUUGCUUGUUUGUUUCUUCAUUGGUUCCAUGCGUGCUUGUUGAAUUCCUUCCUAGGUUUCUUGUGUGCUUGUUGAUUUCUUUCCUAUGUAUCUUGUGUGCUUGUUGAUUUCUUUCCUUGGUUCCAUGUGUGCUUGUUGAUUUCUUUCCUUGGUUCCAUGUGUGCUUGUUGAUUUCCUUCCUUGGUUUCUUGUGUGCUUAUUUGUUUCCUUCCUUGGUUCCAUGUGUGCUUGUUGAUUUCUUUCCUUGGUUUCUUGUGUGCUUGUUUGUUUCCUUCCUUGGUUCCAUGUGUGCUUGUUUGUUUCCUUCCUUGGUUCCAUGUGUGCUUGUUGAUUUCUUUCCUAGGUUUCUUGUGUGCUUGUUUGUUUAUUUCCUUGGUUCCAUGCGUGCUUGAUUAUUUUUUUCCUAGGUUUCUUGUGUGCUUGUUUGUUUUUUUAAUUUCUUCCAUGGUUACUUGAUUUGUUGUUACUUCUUUGCUUUCUUCCUUUGUUCCAUGCAUGCUUGUGUGUUUCAUUCUCUGUUUCCUUGCGUGCCUGUUUAACUUCUUGCUUAGUUGUUUGGUUCUUGCUUGCUUCCUUGUUUUCUUCUUUCAAUCCUUACUAGCCUCUUGCUUCCUUGCUUGUUUUCUCACUUGCUCCUUUAUUACAUGCUUACUUAAUUUCCUUAUCUACUGAACUUGUUUGACCUUUUUAUCAUUUUCUUAAUCUUCUUACUUACUCACUUACUCAAAACUAUCUCUCUAGCUUGUUUCUCAGUUGAAUUUUAUUUAGAUAGUUCUAGGUCUCUGUUUAACAAUAGUAUAGAUGGAAGACUAUUGAGCGUUUAUCAACGGUUUCACACGAUUCCAGUUAUACAAUAAUGGAGGUCUAUGAUCAUUCUUCUCUCUUUACGUCCUCAUUGAUCAGGUGAUUGUGGGGCUUUUAUAUGUAUAUGUCCAUGGGUUAUACUAAUAUACAAGGUGAUCUCAUCUGUACAUUUGCAGAUUUUAAUUUCGUUUGCAAUUUUUGCAACCAGUUUCUGAAGCAAGAGCCUCAUGAAUUCCUGGGGACCAUGAAACAAGGUACUCCUUUUUUUGUAAGUCCCUUUUUGAAAGAUAUUUCUUCAUUUGUAUUUCUUCUUCUCUCUAAUCUUUAUCAAAUCGGUCUUUCUCAUCAUUCUGAUUUUUUUUUUGUUUUUGCCUUUCUUCUAUGGCAUUGGGGUUUACAAGAGGGAACCCUACUUUUAAAAGGAAAGAAACAUUGGCAAUCCUCAUCUCUGGAUUUCUAUCAAAUUUGUUUUUGUUCCUUUCUUCUGUGGUAUUGAGGGUUUUGUACUUCCGCUGGAUUACGAGAGGGCACUCAAGUUUUCAAAG